rnacentral:lncRNA from 1 species
GCCAGACCGGUCUGGUGCAGUUACACAUCCCUACAGGGUCUGAUUUUACUGACUACGGGGGAGCUUGGGUAUUGUUUUUUUUAAGCUCCUCAGAUGAUUCUAACACUCAGCAGGGGCUGAGAGCCACGGAGUUACUUUCUGAGAAGGAGUAAAUAUCAGCAAAGAAAGAGAGACAGGAAAGGCACUUGGCAGCAGCCUGUGCCUAAGCAUGGAGACAACUGCAACUUUCUGGCCAGCGCCACUCUGGUGAAACUGAAAGGUUUCCACAUGGAAGCGCCUUACUGCCGCCGCCCAGUUCGGUCUUUCAGCAGCUGUUUCCUAGUGGCUCCUUGGUAAUUGAGAGGAACUGGCCAGGGCCGCUCUCCAGUGAUCUCUGAAGUCCAGGGAGUGAACAGGGAUGGCUGCCCUGCCUGGAAGGGGGAAAGACACUUUACUAUCCUUUCCAGUUAUCCUUUCACAACUGCAUGUGACGCAGUUGGCAGCGGCAGCUCGUCCAGGGCAAAUUCACACACGUUUCAGGUGACUUAAACUCCUUCUUUUCUUAUGCUAAAUUCUUCCCUAAUCGUACUCAACUGGCUAAGGAACAAAACGGCCCACCCAGCAUCCAGUUCUUAUUACAGAUCAUGAUUAUUUUUUAUAAAGCUCACAGUAUGCUCUGGAGAGGAAAACCUGCAUGUGGCGCCCCCUCCUAAGGCCAGAGACGUCUGGAACUCUUAAGAUUGGACCCCGCAGGAGGACGUUCUUUGGGUUCUACGGACCUCAAACUCUCCAAAGGGGAUGCCCUUGGCAGAGGUUCAGAGGUCUAGUAUUAAGUCCUCCUUAGAAUUUCCUCUCGGAGUUGAAAUGCUGCUUGGACCGAAAAGUGUCUAGAAUCUGAAGUUUACUGUCUAAUGGAAAAGUGGGAUGGUAUUGCAUAAAUACAGGUCUUAUAGGAGUUAUUAAGAAGUUAUUUUAGGCAGAUAGAGAGGAAAAGGGGUCCUUGGGAAGUUUUUCUUUUAAAGCAGCUCCAGAAACCUUUCUUGUCUAGCAGGAAAGGCCCGGCUCUUAGAUCCCGCCGACAAGCUUUGAUAUCCAAAUCCCGGCCAUUAGAAACUGGGUCCACCCAAACAUGGUGAUUCCCGCUGUCUUCUUGCCAUUGCCCCGACUUGGGCCUGGAAACAUGGCCACCCCCACAUAUCCACAGGUGUGUAGGACACCAUGGCGCCCUGUAUUCGCAUAUUAAAAGGUUAGGGUGGGAGGGCCAGGUUUUUGCGGGCCACGUGAGUGAUAUGCCUGGUCAAACCAAUCCCCUGAGCCCUAUGCAAAUCAGGCACCACCUCCUCCAGCCUCCUCAUAUAAGCAGCCACUUUUCCCACCACACGGGUUUUCUCUUUGUUCGAAUCCCCUCUCCCUCUGUCUCUGUACAGGGAGGCUGUUUUCUUCCUUCUUUCUUGCCUAUUAAACACUCCACUCCUUAAAACCACUCCACGUGCGUCCAUGUCGUUUUAUCCAAUUUGGUGCAAGAUUAAGGACCCUGGUGUACCUCCAUUCAUUGGAGACUUAUCACAGGCUUUUGUGCUGCCGUUCUAAGCAGGGGCCUGGUUAACGUGUGAUGCCUUGCUUUGGUACUGUUUGGCCCCAGUGCUCCUUGGAGUCUGGGGAGGUUUAGCCUUUAAAAUUCAAACUGCCAAGGAGACUGCUUUAUCCAAAAUUUUGGUUCACAGCCUUCCUUGGAUUAUCUAUUGGGGCAAAGUAAAACCGGCAAGCUUGUACUGCUAUCUCAUGGCUAAGGUUCCGAGCUGUUGGAUCUUUGUUUAUGUGUGUGUAUACAUGUCUAGAUGUGUUUAUACAACAAAUGUACACUUAUUGUUGUAUAUUGUGUCUACAAAAUUGGCUUAUAAGUGAAAGAGCGCUCAUGAAAACUGAGUAAGUCUAAGCAAUUUUCAAGUUCAUGUGACUUAAAGUAUAACUUUACUAAACGAGCUAGCUUUAAAAUUAUUGGUGGAAUAAAAAUAGAAAUGUUUUCAGAAUUGUCAACAUACAUUUUGGCUGAAUUUUAUGUUUUUCUGUGCUAGAUAUUUUAAAAUGUCAGUGUUAAUUCAAGCUGGAAGCUGCUUAGGGCAAAUCUGCCUCCCAUUCUAUUCAAAGUCUCACUGAGAUAAAUACAUAACUAAUUGCUUCCUUUGGAAAGGCUAAUAAGAAACUCAAAAGAAUGCAACCCUCUGUCUCCCACCUGUGAUUGGAAAGCCCCCAGCCUCCUCGCCUCGAGUUGUCCCGCCUUCUGGGACCAAAUCAAUGUUUGUUUUACAUAUGUUAUUUGAUGUUACAUGUCUCCUUUGUUAAAAGUCAAAAUUAAGUACAGUGAGUGGGAUAAAUGUUUUAGGUAAACUUUUUGUGUAAAUUAAAAUCUUAGAGCUAUUUUUAACACCCAUUUGAUAUCUGGGCCAUUUCCAAUUGAGAAAGUGUUGUAAUAUGAGGAAAUAUGUUUCAAAAAUUAUGGAAUUCAUAAUUCCAUCUAUUUUUCUUAUCUGAAAAUGCCCAUAUCUGAUAGUUCUUAUCUAUAAAUGCCCAUAUCUGAUGGUUCAGGAUUUCUUGCUUUUUGGAGUUUCACUAAAGUUUUAGGUUACUAAGGAUAAAAUUCUAGUUAACAUGUAAUUCUGUACACAAAAUGUGCCGGAAAGGGUUAUUUUAUUAGAAAAAAAAGAAUAAUAAUUUUGUCUAAUCCAGAAGUUAUCUAAAAGUUAGUUCAAAUUACAGAUUUGAAAAAGUUAUUUAUGAAACAAUGUAGUAAGGACUCAUUAAGUAGGGGAGAAAAGUGUGGAAAAAGUUAAAUAAUAAAAUGUUCUUUCAAACCUGGAAACCUUGGAGACAUUUGGCUAAUUAACACUUUCAUAGUUAAAGCCCUUAGUAUUAAUUAAAGUAAAAUAAGAAGUAUUGUAAAAAUGCAUUGGCAGUUUGAUAAUUCUUUUUUAUAAUAUAGUUAAGCAUGAAACUAAAUUUAGUGUGGAGCCAAAUUUCACAUACAUGUUUGCGUUGUUUCACACUGUUUACUGUUUUGCAUGGAUAGUGCUAGAGUACUUAUUGGUCAUGUGCCUUAAGUGGAUUUCUUGAUUGCACAGAAUGUGAUAUUGGUAAACUUAAGGAUAUUGAAUUGUGUAUGGGGAAUAAAAUAUUCAUUAUGUGGGUUUUUUAGGGCCCGGGAUAACACUGCAGCCUCCAGGGUAAACUGAGUAUAAAAAUUUACACCUGGUUUCCUGCUUAUUUGUUUUGGCUUCUAGUUUUCAUUUCUUUGCUGUUUAUUCUCCUGUGGCUUUGCUUGUAUCCAUAUAUAUAAAUAAAUGAUGUUUUCCAGUUCCUAGUGGAAGGUUUUAUUUAGUUUUGUGAUCCUAUGCACUUCUUGCAAGUCCUCAUUCAUUUCAUUUAUCUGGAAUUCCUAAGCUACCUUUGUUGGGCCUGCAGAAAUUAACGGAGCACACCAGCUUUUUUUUUUUGUUUUUUUUUUUGAGAUGGAGUCUCGCUCUGUCACCAGGCUGGAGUAGUGCAGUGGUGCAAUCUCGGCUCACUGCAACCUUCACUUGCCAGGUUCAAGCGAUUCUCCCACCUCAGCCUCCUGAGUAGCUGGGAUUACAGGCGUGCGCCACCAUGCCCAGCUAAUUUUUGUAUUUUUAGUAGAGACAGGGUUUCACCAUGUUGGCCAGGGUGGUCUCGAUCUCUUGACCUCGUGAUCUGCCCGCCUCAGCUUCCCAAAGUGCUGGGAUUACAGGCGUGAGCCACCGCGCCCGGCCCAUGCCAGCUUUUUAUCCUUUAACUAACUUUUUGAAUUUUAGGGUUCCUGAUAGUUUAAGUGUGUUGAGUAUACUCUCACAA